AAAAAUCUCAUUUGAAUUUUUGGCCAUGUCUUUUCUGCAGGUUGACAAGAAAACAGACAACAAAAGACUGUCAGAACCACAAAACAUCCUCUUCAGAUGCCUGUGGAUUCUCUAUGCACAGCUCACCUACUUGCACUGUGUGCUGGAGAUAAGGCUUGGUCUAAACCAGGAUAAUAUAGUGCUUGGCUGGCUGGUUCUUCCUCACAUGCUGAGGGUCUAACUGAGUGCCAUACCUGGGGUCAAGGAAGGAAUUUCCCCCCAGGUCAGGUUGCUAGUGACAUUAGGUUUUCUUCCACUUUCCUGUGUAGUAUGGAUUGCAGGUCACUUGCUGCGAUUAAUUGGGUAAAUCUCACUCAAUCUUUCCCUUUCUUUAUCUGUGGCACCUAAUAAUCUUGUCUUUUGUGGGCUUGUAAUUCUUUGGUCUAAUUUUGGUCGUUCGGUUUUGUGUGUGGGUGAUGAGUGGUGCUGGUGGCCUGUGAUAUACAGGGAGUCAGACUAGAAGAUCUGGUGGGCCCUUCUGGCCUUAAACGCUAUGACUUCAAUGGGGCCCAGAUGUCACCCCUUAGCUGUUAUUGAUAUUUAAAUAAUUAUAUGAAAUCUUCCACAUUUUCAAUUUUCCACAUGUCCUAUUGAUCAUGCCUAAGAUUUUUAUUGUUAUUUUUCUCUGAUUUAACUCCUUCUUUCUCCUGCUAUUAGAGGGAUCUAUUUAGGCCCUGAUCCUGCAAUGUAGUCUGUGUGGGUGGAUCCAUCAUGCAAAUGAAGCCACAGAGAGGGCAAUAGCCACUGAACAAAUUACCAAGGAAUGUGAUAAAUUCUCCACCACUUGGAGUCUUGACAUUGAAGUUAAUGUUUUUUCUAAAAGUUAUCCUUCAGUUCAACUAGUUACUAGGCUAGAUGCAGGUAUCAUUUGGUGAAAUUGUAUGGCCUGUAGGUACAUCGAUUGGUAAGGCUACGAUAUCAUGGAUCACACUGCAGGAUGAGAGUCAUAAUUUUUAAAGUUGUUUUUACCUCAGCUGUUGUUUCCUGACUGUUUUCUUCUUUAUUUAACACCAUUUGAGUUAGUUUCUAUCAAAUUAAAAUAUUUUGAUGAUUAAAAUUUUGUGUUUA